rnacentral:rRNA from 1 species
GGUCGGCCCUCCCCCAGCGCGCCGCCGAGCGCCUCAUCUACUACCGCCAUCGCCUCACCUUCUCCUCCGCGGAUAAGUUCAUCGAUGAGCGAGGACUCCAGAUCGAGCCGGCCGACACCAACCUGCUGGCGUGCCACCCCCGCCCAAGCCAUCUCCUCCACCACGGCGCCCCGCUGCCGAUUCUAACCAUGGGCACGCACAAGAGCCACCUCCGGUACUUGGUGCAGACUUGGUAGCGGUGAUAUUUUGGUCUAAUUAUAUAUCAACAACAGUGCAAUGACAGAAAAAAACAUUAGUUCAAAAUAUAUAUGCAAGAUGUUUGGGAGCUCCAUGCCGUCACCCGCCGGCGCACCUCUGCCUCUCUGUGGGCAGUGGAUCCUCCGCCACAGGUCAACCUCAUGGCAGCGGGCAGUUCGACGCUCCCUGUCGUGCUAUGUUCAACGCUCCCUCGAGCUCCACUAGAACUACUUUCCGGCUGCGUCUGCACCUCUGAAAAGGUUAAACCAUUGAAAGCGAGCACACAAAGCUGCAGAGGCAACAACUCCAAAGGAACCAGUACGGUGAUGUGUUUACAGUAUUCCUAAAAUAAAUGUAGUAAUGCUGUGAUUAAUACUAACAUUGAUGGAUCAGUCGUUUGUAUUGAAAAAAUCGUCAUACUCCGUUAAGCCAGGUUCUAUUCGUUUUGAUUUUUAGCUAUGCAAAUUGUUCUCUGAGAAUUUCUAUUCGUACAGUUUGACUGUCUAGCACAUCAUAUGGUCAUGUCAAGUAUCGUUGCAAAGAAAUGUCGCCGGUAACAAUGAUUAAAGUUCCCUGGAUAGAGUAUCUUACCACAAUAAGUUUUGGUAGCUGCAUUGGGGGGAAUGGAGUGAGGAUGGUGUGGGUUGUGCAUUAUUCCCUCCCCCACUAAUGAUUUUGCUGGUCAAACUUGGGAUGUGAUCAAGAAGGUGGGGAGGAAGCACCAUAGUUUUACUAGUGGUGCUAUUUUUAAGUGCACCGGAAUUUAGCAACAAAAAUAAUGCAUAAAUAGUAUGAAUAUCUUAGUUCGCACUUCUCAGCUGUGAGUACUGCACUUGGACGAGACUCCAAACUUCAAUUGCUCACAGGUCCAAAUUAUUGGAUACAACCUGAUUUAUAAGUUAUCUUAAAUUCCAAAUUAUGAGAUGUUGACAAUCUAAAAUCAUUACUUCUUUCGUAGGGAACAUAUAUUUGUGUUUGAUGAGGCAGAUCAAAUUUGUCAUCGGUGAUUUGCAGUCCCAUGUUGACACUAUUAUUUCUCCGAUUCCCAAAGUUAGACGAGCUUUACAAUUUUUUGCUACAUAGACGAAGUCAAUUAAGGAAGUAGCAGGCAUUAGCCUGAAUGUUCCUGAUCAUUUAAGUGUGCAUGAGCAGGCUAUAACCUUGAAGCAGUGUGCCAUUAUCAUGCCUCUUGAACAGAAACUCUAUAUGCUUUGGAAUUUUAUCAGAAGGCAUCUCAAGUAAAAAUAGCAGGAACUUCAAAUUGCCCAUCUUUUAAUUUAGUGUUGCUCACAUUUAGGCUUAUCCAUGACAGACUUGCAUUGGCAACUUGUGAAACUUCAAACCGUAGGAAGGAGGCAACAAAAAAUAGUUGUUUGUCCCACAAAAUACAAUAAAAAUUGAGUGCAAUGUUGCUGUUAGUCUACGAUUGAAGGGCAUGAUCAUAACCCAUGUACUGUUAAUAAGCUUGUAAAUCAUUUUUAUUGAUUUUUUUGUAUUAGUCAAGAGUUUGAGACAUGCAUUGCGCAAGAAGACGGGACAACAUGAUGUAUAUAUGAUUAUGCAUCAAAUAUUCAUAUCUCCAACAUGCUGAUUCUUUUCCAUCUUUUGGGUGCUAUUGUUGUGAUAUUUGAUUCAAGAGGAAUAUUGAUUCAUAAAGAAUGAUGUUUCAAGUUAUGUAUGAGAGACUUUAUCUUGGCAGAGAUUCCUGCAUACCUUGACUAAAUAAAUGAGAGGUUGAUAUUUAAAAAAAUUAUGUGUGAGACAAGAAUUAGGUAUUGUACACUUUGUGUGAAAUUUCAAAUUUCCAAGAAGGUUAUCCUAUAUCUUUUUUUGGAGGGAAGGUUAUCCUAUAUAUGGUUAUAUGUGUCAGCCGAGACGCGAGACGUGCACGCACGUGCAAGCUUAGUAGUAUCACAGAAAACCCUUGCUCACAAGAUCACUAGGUAUCAGUUCAAUGUUUUCAGAUGGCUUCAGUUUAGAUUACUUAAAACUCUGAAGCUUGACAUGCAUAUUUGGGGAUGGGAUUUUCAAGUACUAGUUUGGAACUCAAUCUAACCCCGCAUCGGCAUGGAGUGGUUUGUUGCUGGAGAAAGGGAGCAGUUUGGUGGUGCACAUGGCGAGGAGCAAGAUGAAUACGUCGAUAGGUGAGCAGAUGUGGGUGUGCGAUCUGCUACUGCACUUGAGCGGUUGAUGACUUUGCUGUCGUGAUUGAACCCGUCGAAACAGAAGCUGCUGCUAUUGAACUUGUGCAUGUGAUGUUUCUUAGAUAUCCUUUUUGUGUGUGGUGUACUGAAAUUAUGUGUGAUAUGCGAUCUGCUACUGCACUUGAGUGGUUGAUGACUUUUUGCUUCGGUGAUGCUUGAUAACGGAUGCCCAUCUCUGAGACUUGCUAUUCUCCACGGC